AUCCCAUGAUGUGGACACUUACGAAGCAAUUCUCUGAAACUUUCUCACACCUUAUAUAAAGACUCGUCAUCCAAUUGUUGGAAAAUAGUUAUCUCAUUUAGCAACUU
rnacentral:snoRNA from 1 species